CAUAUUAACUAAAAUGGCCUCACUUCAGAAAGAAAAACGAAAGCCUAGAAUUUUUUUUUUGUUUUUGUUUUUGUUUGUGAAGAUUGUGACAAAGGAUGAAAAAGCCUGGAUUGAAGAUGAUGACCAAGGAUGAAUAAUCCAUGAUCAACACAGGUAUUUCGUUCUAUUAUCCUUCUCUCAUUCUGAUUUUAUGUAUCUAGUGGAUUUUAUUUCUAGGGUUGAGGAAAAAAAAAAGUAAAGCUCUCUCUCUUGAUUGUAUUAAUUCCAUUGUUUGAUUGGAUUAAUCCCACUGUCCGGUUUUCUCUUGUUGUUUUAGUAAUGGGUUUUGAUUGGAAUGAAGAAAUUUGUUGUUUCUAUUCAAAAUUAGAUGACCUAAUGCUAAAUGUUUGUACAGAUGAUAAAUGUGAGAUGAUGACAUAUAUUCCUUUCAGUAUUUGGUCCCGUGUUCUUGUUAGAUUGUUCGAUGUGGUGCAUAAGCCAGCCAUGAGCUAUUAACUUAUGGUGGAUAGGAUCAUCAAAGGACAGUGAUUUCGGUCCUAGUACUUUGUUUAUACAGUAGUGUAUUCAACUCAUUAGCUAAAUUCUGGUAAAUAAUUAUUAAAUCUGUAGUUAGGAGUAUAACUCAUCGACUGAAGAACGUCUACUUUCUUCUUUCCAUUCAAAUUAUUAUCAGUUCCCCCCUAUGUCUGUUUGGAGAGCUUAUGAAUUAUUACUAGUGCUGUUUAUCACAAGAUUUAUACAUGUUGUCAUUGCUGUAACUGAUUUUAAGAAAUCACAUUUUUAAGGUAAACAAUGAAAAGAUUUGUUAACAUAUAUUAGCCAUUAUAUGGCAAAUGAGCUUCAAUGGUUUUCAUAUAAUGUCCUGGCUCUUCUAGCUCUAUCAGGAGCAUGGUAGGAAAGACAUGUGUUCACAUUUUGUUUAGAAAUCAGAAUUCAGAACAUUGUUAUGAUGAGAAUGAUAUUCCCACCCCCUGCUAUUCAUAUCCUCCCACUCCUGCAUAGAAAUCAACUUACUAUUACUUCUCAUUUCGGUGGAGAAAUUGAUAAGUCUAACAAGAAGAUGGAAAGUCAGAAGAGAAUUGAAGAAGACGAUGAAAGAAAACCACCAAGAGUUUUGUGUCUACAUGGGUUUAGAACAAGUGGUGAGAUCUUAAAGAAACAAGUGCUUACAAAAUGGCCAGACUCAGUAGUUAAGAAACUGGAUCUUGUUUUUAUUGAUGCUCCUUUUCCAAGUCAAGGAAAAUCUGGUGUUGAAGGGUUUUAUGGUCCUCCUUACUAUGAACGCUAUCAAUUUGAAAAAAUUCGGGUUUAUGGAUUUAUCAAGGUCUUUUCUCCUGCCUGCUUUGAAAGUUCAUAUUCGUAUUCUAGUAAUAUAUAUGAACGGUAUGAGAAAUUUCUUGUCUGCCAUUGAUUUAUAUGAUAACAAAUUACAAGGACAAUCGCAUUGAAAGAGAAUCAAAAAGUCAAGCCAAUAUAAAGAAAAGGGUUUGAAAGAUGCUGAUCUCUUGCGGAGGUUAUUCAAUAGAAAGUUCUCACUGGGAGCUGAUACAGACACAUCAGAGAGAACAGAAUCUAACGGGACUCAGUCGAAAGAUUAGGAUUAAACCAUUUACGACUAAAUUAUGAUGUUAACGCAGUCUAUGCAGAUCAGUGUAGUCCUAACAUUUUUGUUAUACCCGAUCACUUGUUUAUUUUUCUGGUUUCAUGUCUCCUGUUUUAUCAAGUCAAUUUCAGGAGUAUUUAGUGUCCCAAAGUUCUCAGUCAGCUGAGACAAACAUGUUUUUUGAGUCGGACCAUAGUGAGGAAAAUCCAGAUGAGCCAAGUGAUUUGGGUCAGAUUCAGACGACUCUGAUUGGGGGCUGGUUUUCCUUCGUCGGUUCAAUACUAUAUCAAGUUAUCAACCUGGUAAUCUUCCACAUUUUUUUGUUUGUUUG